CCGGGGGCAGCAACAAUGCCCCCCCCCCGACACCAGUUAUGGCGGCUAAUUGCCGAUUCUACGGAGAAUCACAGGCUUAACGACCAGGACUAAUUACAGAGAGAAGUCAGCGCCACCUCCCAUAUACUACCGCCCUGUAAUUGGCUUAUGGGGAGGUUUACACAAUACAGACCCCAUAAAAACGGAGGCGGCAACGGCAGAACAACAGCCGCGCUCCCCCGGACGGACACAGACAGCGGCUGUCACCUCCAGAGCAUUGUAUAUACCGCACAAUGAGAACAAGAGUCACCAGGAUACAACAGUGUCCUGACCCCUCCAGAAGGGGCUGUGUACAUAAAACGGGACUAAGCGCCGAAAAGGAAGAGAACGUCACCCACCGGGGAACAUAAGAAUCAUAGAAGACAUACUGAUGGGGAUGUGGUGAUGAGCAGGGAGGAAUGAACAUAACCGUUCUAUUAGAUCAGUGCCCAGACAGCCGUGUUACAGGAGACUGAAUGAAGCCGGGACUCCAGACCGAUACAAUGUAACAACCAGGACAUUGUACCAAACCCCCAGCUGUGACAAAGUGUCAAUUUGCACUAAAUAAAUAAGACUUAAAAUUGUAGUCACACCCACUCAUUGGAGAUCACUCCCCCAUUUAAAAAAAAAUUAUUAUUAUUAUUUUAUUAAUAAUUUAUUCUUUAUUUUUUGUUUAUAUAUUACUAUUUAUUUAUCUUUUGUUUUAUUUUCUUCAAUGCAAUUGUUUUGUAAUCCAGACCUAGUUCAAGAUGACUAAUAAAUAAGGGUUCUCGCCGCUGUCAUUUUCCUUUUCCUCCAUAUGAUCCAUAACAUUUUCGAUUACCAAAAAUUACUCCUUAUCCUGGAAAAGAAGCCGUCAAGUCUUGG